rnacentral:lncRNA from 1 species
UUCUUAUCAUUAAAAGAAAAAAAAAUUAUAUAACAGUUAACCCAAAGUUAAACAUGCCUUUCUAGUUAAGAACUCCAAUAUCACCAGAUGCACCUUGAAAUUCUUCCUAUAAACAAGAAAUAACUACUAAUUGAAGGGGAAAUACAGAUGGAUCACGUAGAAAUUCAAGAAUUCUUACUCUAUAAGAAAGAAAGUAAUCACAAAAUGAAGGGAAAUAACACAUGGGUCGCUUAGAAAUCCAUUGAAUUAUUUCUAAACAAAGGAAAAUAACAGCUAAAUUAAGGAAAAUUACAGAUCAGUCACUUCGAAAUUCAAAAAGUUUAAAAGUUCUUUCAUACAAAGGAGAAUAAUCACUAAACAAUGGAAGUUAC